rnacentral:misc_RNA from 1 species
CGUAUUACGGGGGGUCAGGAUCAGGUAUAUGUAACCCAUGUGCUUUGGUUCUGUCCUUCUGAAUAUUCUACCCAUGUCUUUUGCGUACUAUUUGUUUCCUUGGUGAGCUUGCUUGCCGAUAGGACACUAUAAAACCUUUUGUAAUUGCAGUCAGCGUCAGAAAUAACUUAAUAGUUACAACUCUCAACAACGGAUCUCUUGGUUCU